rnacentral:rRNA from 1 species
UACGUAGGGCGCAAGCGUUAUCCGGAAUUAUUGGGCGUAAAGAGCUCGUAGGCGGUUUGUCGCGUCUGCCGUGAAAGUCCGGGGCUCAACUCCGGAUCUGCGGUGGGUACGGGCAGACUAGAGUGAUGUAGGGGAGACUGGAAUUCCUGGUGUAGCGGUGAAAUGCGUAGAGAUCGGGAGGAACGCCAGAGGCGAAGGCGCCUAGCUGGACAGAUACUGACACUCAACAACGAAAGCGUGGGGAGCAAACAGG